rnacentral:rRNA from 1 species
AUGCCGUUCGCGCACGCGCUGCUCCGGGCGCGGGCCUGCCCCAGGGGCGCCGUCGUGGGACUCGUCCCCUGCGCGCAGGGCGGCACGCCCAUCGCCAACUGGACCCGUGGCUCCGAGAUGUACCAGCGGAUGGUGACCCGCGCCCGCGUCGCCGGUGCAGGGACCGGCAGGAUCGCGGCCUUGCUGUGGUUCCAAGGGGAGGCCGAUGCCAUGCGGCGCGAGGACGCGUUGGCCUACGCCGGGAGGAUGGAGGUGUUUGUCCGGGACAUCCGCCGGGACCUCGCCAUGCCCAACCUCCUCGUCAUUCAGGUUGGGAUCGCGACUGCGCAGAAGCAGGGGAAGUGGCUGGACCUGGUGAGGAAGCAGCAGAGGGCGGUGCGGCUGCCGAACCUCAAGUACGUGGAUGCCAUGGGGCUCCCCCUCGCCAACGACAUUACGCACCUUACCACCCAGGCCCAGGUCCGGCUCGGCAGGAUGCUCGCCGACGCGUACAUCGCCACGCUCUGA